AAAGCGAUCUCGAGAACUUGGGAUUACUAAUCGUUUUAGUAGGCAUUAAAUAAACGCGUCGUUCGAAAUGAAAGCCCAAAUUUCUCCCUCUCGGGCCAUAAAGUUUCCAAGCUUUUGACUUUUGCCCUCGCUUCCCUAUCCCUGGGACCGAUUUCAAUACUGUUGAGAAAAAUAAUCUCGGAAAAUUCCAGAGAAAUGCGCGUUCGUGUCAUUUUCACCCUGAUUUUGACUACCUACGUUUCUUGAAAUCGUUUUUAAAUUUGCUACCUGUUAGAUGAUCGUGAAAACGAGGAGGGGAAAUAGGACAACGACAAUUAGGUUCGCGAAUUUUUUUAGCGUAGGGAAAAGUAAAUUGAUCAUCAAAUUCGAGUCAUCUGUUUGCAAUUUUUCGGCUUGUCGUUACACAUACUCGUAUAGCUCGAGCUGACUCAUCAUAAUUCUCUUGUACGUACGAGUACAAUCAUCUACAUAGGACAUAGGGUACUACGAGCGUACCAGCGAAGGCGAAGGUCUAAAAUAUUCUCAAUUGCUCGCUCGAUGAGAUGAGACAUAUAGCCAUAAAUUAAGUAUUAAGUAGGUAUGCUUACGAAGUACUCGUACAUAGUUAUUGGUACCUACGCUCUAUACUAUACACUAUACACAGUACACAGUACACGGUGUAGAACGAACGAAUUAUGAAUAGUCUAGCUCGAUCAUAAAUGCGAGUACGGAGUACCAAAUACCUUUCCAAGUUUCCACUGUACGUAAAUUUUUUUCGAAUUACUUAAUUUAGUGAAGCGCGAGCGCAGGAGGCGCAGGAGCGGUGUUUGAUGGCUGUACCGCGCGCUAAUCGUCGUAAUAAUUUUUUAAUUAAAUCUACCCGCAUGAUGACGGUAUUCCUGCAACCUCGACUCCUCGAGUAGCGAGUCCGAGUACAUUCCAGUCCAAUUAAUCAUUUCGACAAUCGAAUGAAACGGACGCAACCCAACGCUUCGUAAAGUUGACCGACGGCGGACGGUGCCUGAUUUUCUGUAAGCCUUUUCACGCGAUGCUUUUGAAUUUACGAGUCCAGAACAGUUGACAGAGAAGGUGGACUGGAGGAACUGAGGAAGAGUACAAUUCGAUAAUAAACAAACGAAGAAUAAAGAAGUCACCGCGGUCGGCCGCCCAAAAAUAAAAAAAAAACGUGAGGGGCAACGACCACGAUGCGACGAGUAGUAGUAUACGUUAAAUUAUUAAUCUGUUUUUUGAUAGUCUAAUAUGGCGUGUUUGUGUGUGUGUGAAAAUGCGAUGCGGUACGCGGUACCAUUACGUAUUAAACGUAUCUUUAUUGGCUCGACGAUACAAUGUGGCAUGCGGGGCGGGGGCAGGGGCAAAGGCAGCGUACGGCUACAUUACACACAGGAGUAAUAUACUACACUCUCUCAUCAGAAUAUAACAAGCACAGUACUCGUAGAUUAAUAAUCUAAUACUCGUACGAGCAUCUACAACUACAAGCUUGGUACUUGAUACAUUUUUAAAUGGGUAGUAUCCAAAUAAAUGUAAAAACUUUACCUAUAGUCUAGUGAUUGAAAAAUGCUCCAGACUUUCACGAGUAUUCCAUUCCCAGCAGAAAAUGAUUAGAUGUAAUCGAGUCCGAGCAGAUCUAUAAUAUUGGAUCUGGGCAAUGUCCAGCUUCGCUUAGGUCUGAUCAAAUCAGAUCAGAUCAGGUUAGCUCCAAAAUCAGGUCUCCGAGUUAUUUUGGUCUGAUUAGGUCUAUCCGAUCGAAACUUUGAUCCGAGCAUUCCGGGCAGAUCUGAUCGAGUCAAGUUGGAUCCUAUUUCCCAUUCCCGCUGGGUAGGUAGUAACUGCAAUGUAACUGAAAAGAAUUUCAAAACGAAUUGAUUUUCACUACCUAUUCUUACCUACAUACUUUUCCCCCGGGCCCCGAAGCGAUAACUUUUUUCCACAUUCGAAUAUUUUUUUCUCUUUGAAAAGUAAGUACACUUGGCCUCAUUUAGUACUAAGUGCUUUCAAGUUCCUCGUAAGAUCAUUUGGUUGUAAAGACAGUAAUUACUCGCACCUAGGUGCUAAAGUCUUACAUGGUCUAACUUCACCCUUACAACCUGGUUAGACCUAUACCUAGUGCUAUGCACAGAUAGGCACUGGCGAUUUACCGCCUCGUAUACCUACUCUUCGGAGAUAAUAUGAAAUAUAAAUUAUGCAUAUAGAGAAAUAUGAAUAAAGUGAAUACUCGGUCGACUAUAACGUUACAUUAGCUUUAUUGUUAAUUAAGCACUGUAUUGUACAUAGUCUGAUUAUAUUACGUAAAUAGAAUUACGAUUUGAAUAAAGGAAGCGAGUACAAGUAGUCGCAAAUGUGUGUUAAAAACACCACCCAGGGAAGAAGGACAUUUAUGCCGGAUAGGGCAGGUCUGGCAUAAAUGACUCUAAGAAGAGAAUUUAAAGAUGCUGCAGUUCAUCUCUUGAGUAACCACGAUCCGAUCCAAUAGUCUAUUACGUAAAAGAUAUUCCAUAUCCCAGUAAUAAUUAGGUGGAAAGUACGUGCUCCAUACGUCGAACGUACUGAUAGGGCUCCGCACCUCGACCUAUCUAUUGAAUGGAAACUAAGCUCUCGCUUAGUGAGUCCGUGGUUGACUGAAGUUGUGAUCGGAUAACGUGAAACGCUUCACUGACGCGAACUAAACCGCUAGAUAGCGUGGUUACGUAAGAGAACUGAGCGAAAGGUAGAAGGAGAACAAUUUUCCCUCACCUAAGCGACGGAAAAUGGCGCAAUUCCUCCCUUUACAUUGCCCCGAGUGAUUACUUAUAGGAAUAUGUAACCACUCUAACAACUAAAAAGGGAGAAUGACCUAUGUGCCCUAUCCUUUGCCCCGGGUGUUUACAUGUUGCUGUAUAAAAGAAUAAAAAAGUAAAAUAAUAUAAGCAUCUUCUUAUGAACAGAUGAUACAAAAAAAAUAUAAAAAAAAGAGAAAAGAAAAUUAUCCAACUUCUGGAAAAAUUAUAAACGUAGAAUAAAGUGAAAUAAUAUCUAAACAGUAGCUAUAUCUGUGUAAAAUAAAGAAAAGUCACGUUACAUCUUAUGAAUCAAAGUAUCGAACGAAAAUCAAAAAAUGCUUAAUGGACAUACAUUAGUGAUGAAGAUUAUUGACUAUUACAGUAUGUAUAAACUUUGUACAUUAUUACGUUAUUCUAUUCUAUGACUAACAUGAAUUUAUUUAUUGUUUCAGAUUCCAUGGGAUGAGCUGUAGUUCAUGUUGCGAUGUCUGUUUCAUUCCGGGAAGUAUAAAUUGCGUAAGAUUGAUAAGGUUCUUGAUUUUCGAUACUUUGUAACGUGAUUUCGUGUCUACAGAUGUUUACUCAGCAAGAAGAGGCAGCAAACCCAAAACAGCCUCCAGAAUGAUGCGGUGAUCGAGAAAAGGACAUUUAUCGACUAUCUUUUCCGGUAACGUUCGGUCUAGUAUGCUUUCAAGCUGUUUUAUAUAGUUUGUAUUAUGUGUAUCUUUCUUCGAAAUGCUGAUAGCUUCUAGCCAAUUUCUAAAUUUCUUCGUCUUAUCACUAUGUACCGUGUGUUUUAUAGGUGGUAUGACAUAGAUUUUCUUUACGCCCGAAGUACUCAACGUCUUAAUCAGUGCAUUAAAAUCGUCUCUCAAUUUUUCUUCGUUAGUGUUUUCGUGGAGAUCUUUAUGACCUAUCGAUAUCAGCACCUUUUUAGUAUAAGCUUGAUCACCGGCUAUCGCAAAAUGGACCAUUUGAUGUACCAGGCCAUCGCCCAGCAUCCAGUACUGCUGCAAAAAGAAAAUAGUCUCCGUUCCUUUAUUUCGUAACGUAAGUGUAGCUCCGGUUGUGUAUAGGUUAUAUCGAAACUUUCUACACGUCGAACCGAAUUCAUCAGGUAUGGAUGUUUUUAGUGUCAUUCUUCUGAUUUCUUCUUGAAAAAUCUCUCUGGUUACCGGUAAAUGAACUACUUGUUCUUUUUUGUCAUAGGUCGAGAUUGUUAGUCGAUUUCGGUAAUUUUUUACGUCACGAAUUGCUCCGAAAUGUCCUGGCUUGAGAGGGCUACGUGUUUGGUUGUUAUCUAUAAUGGACUCGAACUUAUUCUGCUCGUAUUUCGUUCUAUAUCGAUUGAUAGCAUUGCGUCGGUGAGUAUUACGUAAAGGUGUUCUUGGUACAUAUCGUGAACCUGAUGGCUUAAGUAUUACUUUUAGAUUUUUUGUAUUAAUCGGUUUUCUUUCAGGAGACUUGCGGCGUAUUUGAAUCAUAGUUUUGCUGGUUUUGGUUGGCGAUGAUGGUUUUUUCGGGGGUGAUUUCUUCGGUGAAGAUUUAGCAGGUAAUUUUGCUGUUUUCGUAAUAGUUGAUUUAACCAGCGGAAUUUUGAAUUCGCCUGUUUUUUCUGUUUUUUGGUGGUCGUGUUUCCAAUUCGUAUCCUCGUCUGAUGUGUCUUCGUAUCUCGGUUCAAAUUGCGAUUCAUCGAUUUCUUUUUCAUUAGAUGUUGAUUCUACCGGGAUGUGUUCUUCAUCGCUUAAAGGUUGUAUAAAUUCAUCGAUCGGAUUAUCAUGCUUGUGUUCCGGUGUUACGUUGUCGAUUGGUUCACAUUUUUUCAGCUCUUGGUUCUCUUUGCGUAGCUUCCAUAGUUGUUCUACUAAAGUUGCCGGUGACGUCGAAUCAUCUUUUACGGUCGUAAUUUGGAUAUUAUUUGCUUGUAUUUCGACGUCAGAUGCAAGAAUCAGCGGUGUGUUGCAACUGGAAAAUACGCAUUUUUCGGUCCCAGGAGCAUAAGCCGUAUACAGAUUGGUUAGACAUUUUUCGUGAUAGAUAUGUCUACACGAAGUUAGCUUUAGUUUCGUAUUUGUCCGGUCUUGGUCUGGGCCUUGCCCAAGUGAUUUGUUGCAGCUUGAACAAGUAAUGAUGUUUACUCGUAUUGCCUCCAUUUUCUUCCUAGUUGGUUCAGAAUACUGCUUUUCUUCCAUGAAUUACGUUACGAAAAUGACACUCGAAGCUCGAAGGUAAACGGAAUUGAAUAUGCUUGAAGAUGAUCGAUUUCGGAUUACGUAAGAUGAAUUUGGCAAUUGUAUAUGAUGAUGAUGUGCUGCUACACGUGUUUGGAUUUCUGUUGAACAUUUCAUAUUUGUAGUUCGGAAUAUAUUAUGUAGUGAAUGUUUGCCUUCUAUUACUUACGUGUAGCUGUUGUCUUGGUGACUUGUUUUCAAUAUACUAUUUUUAAUAACUUCUUGAUGUAAUUAGAUUUUUAUUUUAUCACGAUGUUAUACGUUUACGCAAUAAGAUAUCAUUUGGUGCUUUGUAUGUUGAAUGUAAGAUUGUUGCCUGUGAUUUCAAUUUUCACGUUAUACUUUGUUCUAACAUUGUUGUUUUAUUCGAUUACUUUGUACGAUUUUUCUGUGUAUUGCUUGAUAUGUACUAACAGAUGAAAUUGCUCCUUUGGAAUAAAUAGAAAUUGCUCUCAUGAUGAUAAAUUUAUUUUAUUGAAUAUAAAAUAGGUAACGAACGGAAAAAUAACAUUCAACAUAUACUUAGAAUACUAAUUAGUGAUACACCUGAAUUAUUCCA